GAUGAAGAACGUAGCGAAAUGCGAUAAGUAAUGUGAAUUGCAGAAUUCAGUGAAUAAUCGAAUCUUUGAACGCACAUUGCGCCCGCCAGUAUUCUGGCGGGCAUGCCUGUUCGAGCGUCAUUUCAACCAUCAAGCCCCCGGCUUGUGUUGGGGACCUGCGGCUGCCGCAGGCCCUGAAAACCAGUGGCGGGCUCGCUAGUCACUCCGAGCGUAGUAAUACAUCUCGCUCAGGGCGUGCUGCGGGUUCCGGCCGUUAAAAAGCCUUAUUUACCCAAGGUUGACCUCGGAUCAGGUAGGAAGACCCGCUGAACUUAAGCAUAUCAAUAAGCGGAGGA
rnacentral:misc_RNA from 1 species